UACGUAGGUGGCAAGCGUUGUCCGGAUUUAUUGGGCGUAAAGAGCUCGUAGGUGGUUCGGUAAGUCGGGUGUGAAACCUCCAGGCUCAACCUGGAGACGCCACCCGAUACUGCCGUGACUAGAGUCCAGUAGGGGAGCGUGGAAUUCCUGGUGUAGCGGUGAAAUGCGCAGAUAUCAGGAGGAACACCAGCGGCGAAGGCGGCGCUCUGGGCUGGCACUGACACUGAGGAGCGAAAGCGUGGGGAGCGAACAGG
rnacentral:rRNA from 1 species